GACGAACGCUGGCGGCGUGCUUAACACAUGCAAGUCGAACGGAAAGGCCUUGCUUUUGUGGGGUGCUCGAGUGGCGAACGGGUGAGUAACACGUGAGUAACCUGCCCUUGACUUUGGGAUAACUUCAGGAAACUGGGGCUAAUACCGGAUAGGAGCUCCUGCUGCAUGGUGGGGGUUGGAAAGUUUCGGCGGUUGGGGAUGGACUCGCGGCUUAUCAGCUUGUUGGUGGGGUAGUGGCUUACCAAGGCUUUGACGGGUAGCCGGCCUGAGAGGGUGACCGGCCACAUUGGGACUGAGAUACGGCCCAGACUCCUACGGGAGGCAGCAGUGGGGAAUAUUGCACAAUGGGCGGAAGCCUGAUGCAGCAACGCCGCGUGCGGGAUGACGGCCUUCGGGUUGUAAACCGCUUUCGCCUGUGACGAAGCGUGAGUGACGGUAAUGGGUAAAGAAGCACCGGCUAACUACGU
rnacentral:rRNA from 1 species